UACGUAGGGGGCUAGCGUUGUCCGGAAUCAUUGGGCGUAAAGCGCGCGUAGGCGGCCCGGUAAGUCCGUUGUGAAAGUCAAAGGCUCAACCUUUGAAAGCCGAUGGAUACUGCCGGGCUAGAGUCCGGAAGAGGCGAGUGGAAUUCCUGGUGUAGCGGUGGAAUGCGCAGAUAUCAGGAGGAACACCGAUGGCGAAGGCAGCUCGCUGGGACGGUACUGACGCUGAGGCGCGAAAGCCAGGGGAGCAAACGGG
rnacentral:rRNA from 1 species